rnacentral:tRNA from 1 species
CGGGCGCUGGUGGACGGCGACGGCGCGGCGCGCUUCGUGCGCGUCAGGCAGGCGGACGCGUUGUUCGAACCUGCGGUGCCGCU